AAUUUUGGACAAUGUGGGACACCCUGAUCCAGUCAUCCCGCGUGUAUGAUGACGGCAUUCGGGUUGUAAAGUACUUUUGUCAGAGAGGAAAAGGUAUCUCAUAAUACAAGAUACUGCUGACGGUAUCUGCAGAAUUAGCACCGGCUAAUUAAUUGCAAGCAUCCGCGGUAAUACGUAGGGCGCCAGCGUUAAUCGGAAUUACUGGGCGUAAAGCGUUUGUAGGCGGUUUGGAAAGAAAGAUGUGAAAUCCCAGGGCUCAACCUUGGAACUGCAUUUUUAACUGCCGAGCUAGAGUAUGUCAGAGGGGGGUAGAAUUCCACGUGUAGCAGUGAAAUGCGUAGAUAUGUGGAGGAAUACCGAUGGCGAAGGCAGCCCCCUGGGAUAAUACUGACGCUCAGACACGAAAGCGUGGGGAGCAAACA
rnacentral:rRNA from 1 species